rnacentral:rRNA from 1 species
CCUUUCAGAUGGGGGACAACAGUUUGGAAAACGGUUGGUAAUACCGAAAUAGUUUUUUUUUGUCCAAGGCAGAGGGAAGAAAGGGAGGUUUUUCGGAAGCUUUCGCUGAAAGGAGGGGGCUUGCGUUCUGAUUAGCUAGUUGGGAGGGGUAAACGGCCCACCAAGGCGACGAUCAGUAGCCGGUCUGAGAGGAUGAACGGCCACAUUUGGACUGAGACACGGCCCAGACUCCUACGGGAGGCAGCAGUGGGGAAUUUUCCGCAAUGGACGAAAGUCUGACGGAGCAACGCCGCGUGAACGAUGACGGCCUUCGGGUUGUAAAGUUUUGUUAUACGGGACGAAUGGCGUAGCGGUCAAUACCCGUUACGAGUGACGGUACCGUAAGAGAAAGCCACGGCUAACUACGUGCCAGCAGCCGCGGUAAUACGUAGGGUGCAAGCGUUGUCCGGAAUUACUGGGCGUAAAGAGCUCGUAGGUGGUUUGUCACGUCGUCUGUGAAAGUCCAGCGCUUAACGCUGGGAUUGCAGGCGAUACGGGCUGACUUGAGUGCUGUAGGGGAGACUGGAAUUCCUGGUGUAGCGGUGAAAUGCGCAGAUAUCAGGAGGAACACCAAUGGCGAAGGCAGGUCUCUGGGCAGUGACUGACGCUGAGGAGCGAAAGCAUGGGUAGCCAACAGGAUUAGAUACCCUGGUAGUCCAUGCCGUAAACGGUGGGCGCUAGGUGUGGGGACCUUCCCACGGUUUCUGCGCCGUAGCUAACGCAUUAAG